CCUACGGGGUGCUGCAGUGAGGAAUAUUGGUCAAUGGACGAGAGUCUGAACCAGCCAAGUAGCGUGAAGGAUGACUGCCCUAUGGGUUGUAAACUUCUUUUAUAAAGGAAUAAAACGAGGCACGUGUGCCUUUUUGCAUGUACUUUAUGAAUAAGGAUCGACUAACUCCGUGCCAGCAGCCGCGGUAAUACGGAGGAUCCGAGCGUUAUCCGGAUUUAUUGGGUUUAAAGGGAGCGUAGAUGGGUUGUUAAGUCAGUUGUGAAAGUUUGCGGCUCAACCGUAAAAUUGCAAUUGAUACUGGCAGUCGUGAGUACAGUUGAGGUAGGCGGAAUUCGUGGUGUAGCGGUGAAAUGCUUAGAUAUCACGAAGAACCCCGAUUGCGAAGGCAGCUUACUAAACUGUGACUGACAUUGAUGCUCGAAAGUGUGGGUAUCAAACAGGAUUAGAUACCCCUGUAGUC
rnacentral:rRNA from 1 species